rnacentral:rRNA from 1 species
AUUGAACGCUGGCGGCAGGCUUAACACAUGCAAGUCGAGCGGGGGAAGGUAGCUUGCUACCGGACCUAGCGGCGGACGGGUGAGUAAUGCUUAGGAAUCUGCCUAUUAGUGGGGGACAACAUCUCGAAAGGGAUGCUAAUACAGCAUACGUCCUACGGGAGAAAGCAGGGGAGCUUCGGACCUUGCGCUAAUAGAUGAGCCUAAGUCGGAUUAGCUAGUUGGUGGGGUAAAGGCCUACCAAGGCGACGAUCUGUAGCGGGUCUGAGAGGAUGAUCCGCCACACUGGGACUGAGACACGGCCCAGACUCUUACGGGAGGCAGCAGUGGGGAAUAUUGGACAAUGGGGGGAACCCUGAUCCAGCCAUGCCGCGUGUGUGAAGAAGGCCUUAUGGUUGUAAAGCACUUUAAGCGAGGAGGAGGCUACUUUAGUUAAUACCUAGAGAUAGUGGACGUUACUCGCAGAAUAAGCACCGGCUAACUCUGUGCCAGCCGCCGCGGUAAUAC